UCCCUGGUGGCUCAGACGGUAAAGCGUCUGCCUGCAAUGCGGGAGACCGGGGUUCGAUUCCUGGGUUGGGAA
rnacentral:tRNA from 1 species